UACGUAGGUGGCAAGCGUUGUCCGGAAUUAUUGGGCGUAAAGCGCGCGCAGGCGGUCCUUUAAGUCUGAUGUGAAAGCCCACGGCUCAACCGUGGAAGGUCAUUGGAAACUGGAGGACUUGAGUACAGAAGAGGAAAGCGGAAUUCCACGUGUAGCGGUGAAAUGCGUAGAGAUUGGGAAGAACACCAGUGGCGAAGGCGGCUAUCUGGACGGUUUCUGACGCUAAGACGCGAAAGCGUGGGGAGCAAACAGG
rnacentral:rRNA from 1 species